UGCGGAUGGCAGAAGCGUUCGUUCACCUUACACGGACCUGCUGGCUGGCAGAGGUCUUCCCGGGCUUGGUUCUAGGCACUCGGGACACCGCAGUGACCGCGGCAGACAAUGUUUCCCUUUUCUGAAGUUUCCGUCCCAGCGUGGGAGAGACAGUAAGCCUCUAGACAGGCGAAGCAAGCACAAUAAAUGACUCUGGAAGGUGAUAAAUACUGGGGAGAAAAUAAAACCCGGAGGAGGGGCGGGGGAUCUAGCUCAGCGGCACAGCGUCUGCCUGGCAAGCGCAACGUCGUGAGUUCGAUUCCCGGUACCGGAAAACAAAACAAAACAAAACAAACAAACAAAAAAACCCGGAGGAGAGAUGGAGAGUGACGCGAACGACGGGCGUGGGCGGUGUGACACUGGGUCGCCAGGACGGACCUCUGUGAGGAGGUGGCAGCAACGUGGGGAAACUCAGGCCUAAGAGGAGCUUUCCAGGCAGGAUGAAGAGUAAGCAGCCCCGAAGGGACGACCAAGGCCGGAAGUUCAGUACAGCCGAAGUGUGGGUCAUCGGAAGGGUGCCGGGCUCGGGCACGAGAGAUAAGCAGGGCCCAGACCGUGCAGGACCGUAAAAGCCGUCUGGGCACACUGAUGUUUAAGCGUAGAAGGUCUUAGGUGGGCGUUGAAGCUCAGGACAUCCCUCCUUUGAUGUUCAGAGCGCUCUGAGUAUCGCUGCCGUCCUGUGUUCCUGAGAUGAUCAAGUUACUCCUGAGCUGCGGUGACUUUGGAGAGCACCCCGGGCAGCUCAGGAGCUUGCAGGGGCCCGGUUGGCACGGGCUUGCCAGAUGUGGUUAUUUAGAGGCUUGCAUCACGGCUCAUAGCCUCUGUGCUAGCAGUCACAUGACCAGGGUCACGGCUUCAGACAGGUGGGGAGGGAUGGUCCGAAGGACAGAUGUUGCUUGCUGUGGCCCCUGGCGCCCGUUCCACCUGUUCUGCAGGCUGAUGAUACAGAUCUGUCGCAGUGGGUCAGAGGCAAUCCAAGCCGUGUGGGCCUGUGACUUGGCAGAGGGCCCAGAGGGUUGGAAGGAGCAAUCCUCCGCUGGAUUUUUAGGUAACACGUGGCGGUUGAAAAGAGGCAAGAUUCUGCUCCCAACUGCAAGGAGAACCUCGUGCAGAUGACAACUAUGAACUCUGCACAAAAAGUAGAAGAGAACCCCUGGAAGAUAUCGGGGAGAACCCCUGGAAGACAUCGGGGAGCUACCAUACACGGGCAAGUGUGAGGGGAGUGCUGUCACCUCAAAGAAAGGGACAAUAUUAGGUGACUGCUCCAAGGCCGGGGGCAAAGCGCCUCUGUGUCAGGAGGCAGGGGUGGCUUAAAGUCUGCUAAAAAUCUGAUCUUGCUGGCCUGAUGAACCAGAGAGCCAGGCAGGGCAAACAAUCUCGGGAAAAUAAGGGGUGGGGUAAAUCCCGGAAGGCACCGAUCCGGAGAAGGAGGUCCCCAAAUGCUGCACGUGAACUCCAUCCAAACCCGUAGCGGAACGUUUGUGUGCAGAGUGGGUCCAGCUAAGACUAGAGAAACUGAACUGACAUUGCAGCCGCCACCCCACACCCAGGGCGGCAGUCUGCGGUCAGCCAGAUUAACCGUCUGCUUCGUAACAAAAGAAAAGAAAAAGAAAUGAGACAGCCUGCGAUGUGCUGAUAUGGAAGGAGGUCCAAAAUAUAUAGUUAAGUGAAAAGCACCGUAGAAACCAGCCUAUAAUAUCCUACCAAAUUAUACACGUAUAUAAAUUAUAUACACACGCACACAUCCGUGCAUACAUGCACACGUACCCGUACGUAUCUGGAACAUUUCUGAAGGACUAAAAGGAUUCACAAGAAAUUAGUGGUAGUGAAUGCCUUCCGGGAAGGGAAAAUGGAAGUGGGUGAUGAACCCGCAGAGGGAGAGCCACAUUUUUUUCUUUUUUUUAAAAUCAGAUUUGGUGGGGCUGGGAAUUUAGCUCAGCGGCAAACGCGCCUGCCUGGCAAGCGCAAGGUCGUGAGUUCGGUUCCCGGUACCGGAGAAAAAAAAAAAAAAAAAAAAAAAAAAGAAACAAAUAAAAUCAGAUUUGGAGAGGUGUGAUUUUCAAUCUCCCUUUUCAGUGUGUUUUCUGAGUUUUGGCAAACACACAAAAUCACGCAGUUAUCACCACAGUCAAGAUAUAUUUACUUCACUCUGUCCAAG
ensembl:lincRNA